CAUUCGGUGUCGUGUGUGUAGCAUCACUGUAAAAAGAAUGAUGAAAAAGGCCAGUGAUAAUAAAAAGAAAAGGAAUCGAUGAAGAAAAAAUUGGACACGCCCCUCGCUGCCUCCUCUCAGCUCUCCACACCCACACACUUCACAUACCUUAUCCCUUCCACUGUCUCACCACCGCUCUCAGGGAAAAAGCCGCCGCCACCGUCCUCGGUGCUCCUGGCAGUUAGGGCGAAGGAGUCCCUAGGCAUGCUGCUGCUGCGCCAACGCCUCCGGCAUCCGCACCGUCGUGGGCAACGCCAAAUACAACGCCGGUGCCGCAUAUACGCGCGCGCACCGGUUGCCGCCUCGGCCUCGGUGCGCCCGGCCGCGGAGGAGGGGGAGGAGCAGGAGCAGUGGCGCAGGAGCCGACAACGUAGACGGAGGGAGAGGAGUAGCGCGAGGGGCGCAGACGGAGGGGUCGCCGGGGACGUUUGGCGUGCCACCACACAACGGUCCCGGGCCGCCGCGGGGAGGCAGAGAGGCGACACGGGAGGUUUGUGCUGGCUGCCCUUCUUCUCCUUGUUACUGAUGGAUUUUCUGAUGUGCAGAUGGCUAGUUUGCGCCCAUCACUGCUAAAAAUUUGAACGAAUCUUGUUCUUCGUCGGAAAUCCAAUUGAAUUUCCAUCUCGUUCUGAAUUGAGUUCUGAUUGUCGGGUGACAGAGGUGAGAGGAUAGCCGAACAACGAGCUCGCAGUCGCAGGGUCACUAUGCGAGAGCACAUAUCCUCGCAUGGCAGGUUACAUGUAGCCCUAUAAAAUCAAAUUCAGCCCCAUGUUACCUGAUUUUCUGUGAAUGGAUUUUACUGCUUUUCAGUUUUGGACCCUGUGUAACUUGUUGUAUUUCUGGAGCAGUGCAGCGAGGAUGAGGCUAUGAAGUACGUCCAAUACUUAACCUACAGCCAUCUAAUAUGCAAAUUUAAUAUAGUGGAAAAUGAAAAACAAAAAAAGUAUAAGAAGACCCAAUUCCUCUUUUAUGUGCACCUUGUGUGCGUAGACACUGGACUACAAUUGUAGCAACAAAGAGUAUAUCAAUUUAUCAGGUAAUAGAAAUAGUGCUACUUCUUUGGAUGCAGUCACAAAGAGAAGACUUUUUUUUGUGAUUAGAGAGGGUACUUUCUUACUUGCUGAUCACUGAAUGCGUGAGUGAUCAUUAUUAUGUUGGAUUGGUAGAUGUUGUUUGAUGCCAUAAAAAGGCUCUGUACCUGAAUCAACUAUAGAGUGCCCAAAGAAAGAAGAAAUAAACACUUUGAUAAUUUAGCACCAUUAAAAAAUCGAUGAACUAACCUUUUUUUUAAAGACUCUUCUGGGAUAUGUAGGUCGACGAUUGUACUGAGUUGGGGGUUCUCAAACAGUUUGACAUUUGGGUGAGUGUCAUUUGUCUUGAAAUUCGUUGCAUCUGGUACGCAUCAUUUCUGUGCAACCCAUUGGACUCAUCAUCUUCAUAAAUAUUCUCUUUUUCGUCGAGGAUGUCUGUUGAAAUGCAUGGAAUUUGGUACUGCACCACCUGCGCAUGUUAUGUUCUGCAGUUGUGUGACUGCCAAUUGUUCGGUAGCUGGCAUGUGUGACACAAUGUUACUGCCAUUGAGGACGGCAACAAUAUGCUUAUUUUGCUUGCGGGUUUGACGUUGUCGCUUUAAUAUUUCCUCUCUAUUUUGUGCAUACUACUCCAUUUCCAUCCGAUUCUUAAUCUCAUUAUGGUCUGAAUAUAUGAAGAAUAGAUCAUUAUAUAGUAAUACAACUGGGCCGUAUAUCAUGAAGUUGAUCAUCGUUACCUUGUGAUACAGCCAACUGUGUGUGUACUCUGUUAUUUAGGCCAUUGAUCUUGGCAGCGGCAAUUUUUUUUUCUGUUUGUAGGCCUCACACCGUCUCUUAUUAAUCUCAUCCCUAUUUUGUGCAUAUUGCUCUCUAUCCAUCCGCCUUUUUAUUUCUUUAGGGUCUGCAAAUCAUGACACAAUUCAGCAGUUGAGCAACAAUCGAGUGAUUGGGUUAUGAUCAUUACCUGUUGGGAGUGGUAGGGGCUAUACGAAGUCGUUCAACCCUGUGAAUGUCAAGAGUGUUAUCAUACAACUAUCUUUGAAGGAAUAGUAUUACCGGAAUACAGACAUAGUAGAGUUUUAUGUUCAACUCCCACCAACUGUUUACCUUCAGAGCUUUCUUGUGGUGCCUCUGCUUACCCAAAUGAAUUCAAUUUGCAUUAAUAUACUUAGUAUAAUGCUACAAGAUGUAGUUAUUUGUAAUACUAUUCAUCUAGGUCUGUUACCCAAAUGAAUUCAAUUUGCAUUAAUUUACUUUCAUAAUGCUACAGAAUAUAAUAGUUUGUAAUACUAUUCAUCUAGGUCUGCUACCCAAAUGAAUUCAAUUUGCAUUAAUAUACUUGGCAUAAUGUAACAGGAUGUAGUAGUUUGUAAUACUAUUCAUCUAGGUCUCUUUCAGAGUGUGGCCUUUUUUAUGUUCAUAUUACUUUAACUGAGCAAUGGGUGAACCAUAUGCAGCUUGGUGAGGCUUUUAGGUGAGGUCAGUACCAUGUGCAUUUGCCAAGGCUUCAUGGUACGAUUUCAGGUUUAGGUCGGAAAAGCAAGAGGAUCAAUCAAAUGGAUCACACUGGCCCAUGUUGGCAAAUAAGCAUGCACCUGCGGAGCAGUUCAUCGGCGUUGUGACGUCGUCGUACACGCAGUGCGGCGAUGGCGCGGGACAGUCUGGGUGGUGGCGGCAUGUAAAAGCCUCACGAAGUUCAGACAAUCUGGGCGGCACCUUUGUUGGUGAAGAGCUCGGACGUGAAUGGCGCAGGGCAGGUCAGCUCGUCGCACCCGUCGUCGGGUCCAUCGUCGGCUGCGCAGGGCAGCGAUGGCACAGGUCAACCUGGACGCCUGGAUGGCAACAAAGUUCAGACAGUCUGGGUGGUACCUGUAUUGACGAAGAGCUCGUCGUUGCGGCCGUCGUCUGGUGCCUUGCCGUCUGCGCAGGGCAGCGAUGGCGCAGGUAAACCUGGACGUCUGGAUGACAAUAGAGUUCAGCUAGUCUGGGCGCUGCACCUGUGUCGCCGAAGAGCUUGUCGUUGCCGUCGUGGUCAGGUGCCUCUCCGGCUGCCCAGGGCAGCGAUGCCACGGGUUAACCUGUACGCCUGGAUGGCAACGUGGAACGGUGGAACGGCAGCGGCGGCGGGGGAAAAUAAAUUGGUUGCCGCUAAUUUAGCAACUUUCUUUCUGUAUUGUUGAACAAUGCAUGCGGAACGGACGUGUGGUUUCCUUUUGCGAUUGUUUUUUUUUCUCUCCAUAUAAAUUGGACGUGGGUUAUUUGAUUGUU